rnacentral:rRNA from 1 species
GAUGAACGCUAGCGAUAGGCUUAACACAUGCAAGUCGAGGGGCAGCAUGGUCUUAGCUUGCUAAGACUGAUGGCGACCGGCGCACGGGUGCGUAACGCGUAUGCAACUUGCCUCACAGAGGGGGAUAACCCGUCGAAAGACGGACUAAUACCGCGUACACUCUAUUUUGGGCAUCCAAGGUAGAGGAAAUGAAAUUCGCUGUGAGAUAGGCAUGCGUCCCAUUAGCUAGUUGGUGAGGUAACGGCUCACCAAGGCGACGAUGGGUAGGGGAACUGAGAGGUUGAACCCCCACACUGGUACUGAGACACGGACCAGACUCCUACGGGAGGCAGCAGUGAGGAAUAUUGGUCAAUGGGCGAGAGCCUGAACCAGCCAAGUCGCGUGAAGGAUGACUGUCUUAUGGAUUGUAAACUUCUUUUGUAGGGGAAUAAAGAGGGGCACGUGUGCCCCAGUGAAUGUACCCUACGAAUAAGCAUCGGCUAACUCCGCG